rnacentral:rRNA from 1 species
UGCAGUCGAACGGUGAAGCCCAGCUUGCUGGGUGGAUCAGUGGCGAACGGGUGAGUAACACGUGAGCAACCUGCCCUCCACUUCGGGAUAAGCCUUGGAAACGGGGUCUAAUACCGGAUAUGAGCUCGCAUCGCAUGGUGUGGGUUGGAAAGUUUUUCGGUGGGGGAUGGGCUCGCGGCCUAUCAGCUUGUUGGUGGGGUGAUGGCCUACCAAGGCGUCGACGGGUAGCCGGCCUGAGAGGGCGACCGGCCACACUGGGACUGAGACACGGCCCAGACUCCUACGGGAGGCAGCAGUGGGGAAUAUUGCACAAUGGGCGCAAGCCUGAUGCAGCGACGCCGCGUGAGGGAUGACGGCCUUCGGGUUGUAAACCUCUUUCAGCAGGGAAGAAGCGCAAGUGACGGUACCUGCAGAAGAAGCGCCGGCUAACUACGUGCCAGCAGCCGCGGUAAUACGUAGGGCGCAAGCGUUGUCCGGAAUUAUUGGGCGUAAAGAGCUCGUAGGCGGUCUGUCGCGUCUGGUGUGAAAUCCCGAGGCUCAACCUCGGGCUUGCAUCGGGUACGGGCAGACUAGAGUGCGGUAGGGGAGACUGGAAUUCCUGGUGUAGCGGUGGAAUGCGCAGAUAUCAGGAGGAACACCGAUGGCGAAGGCAGGUCUCUGGGCCGCGACUGACGCUGAGGAGCGAAAGCAUGGGGAGCGAACAGGAUUAGAUACCCUGGUAGUCCAUGCCGUAAACGUUGGGCACUAGGUGUGGGGCUCAUUCCACGAGUUCCGUGCCGCAGCUAACGCAUUAAGUGCCCCGCCUGGGGAGUACGGCCGCGAGGCUAAAACUCAAAGGAAUUGACGGGGGCCCGCACAAGCGGCGGAGCAUGCGGAUUAAUUCGAUGCAACGCGAAGAACCUUACCAAGGCUUGACAUGUACGAGAAAGCCCCCGAGACGGGGUUCUCUUUGGACACUCGUACACAGGUGGUGCAUGGUUGUCGUCAGCUCGUGUCGUGAGAUGUUGGGUUAAGUCCCGCAACGAGCGCAACCCUCGUCCUAUGUUGCCAGCGGGUUAUGCCGGGGACUCAUGGGAGACUGCCGGGGUCAACUCGGAGGAAGGUGGGGAUGACGUCAAAUCAUCAUGCCCCUUAUGUCUUGGGCUUCACGCAUGCUACAAUGGCCGGUACAGAGGGCUGCGAUACCGUAAGGUGGAGCGAAUCCCAAAAAGCCGGUCUCAGUUCGGAUU